UACUCUAACAGAACAAUAUAAAUUUGGAGUGAAAGACCAUGAAUUCUGUUUGUUGAAGCUAUGUUGCCUGUGAGACAGUCAAGCAGAAGUGCUGUGUAGGAUUCUUGUCUAGAACUCAGAAGAGAGAUCUAGGCUGGAGCUGAUUAAUAUUAUAUAGUAUCUAAAGCUACAGGGAAUAGAUGAUGUUUUUCACUUACUACCUGCAAUCAUUAGCCAUAUGAGUGUUUGCCUAAUCCUCUUAAAUUGUGAAGCUUAGGGGACACAUUGGUGGUACAUGGUUGGUGCUUAGUGAGUGUUUGUCAGGUUCUUAACCCACUGAGCCACAACAAGAACUCCUUAGUGUGUAUUUUUGAAAGGGACAAUGACUACUGAGGACUGCUUUCACACUUCUGAGCUUCCCAUUGCCUCCUGAUUGUCUAAAAUGUCACCUUAAGUUUCAUUGUUCUUGUUUGUUUUUCUGGUUGCAGGCAGACUUUUCAAUUAGCUUGUUAGUCAUAAGUAGAGGGUCAUGACUCUCUCUUGUUCACAAAAGCAUUUGUGUCAUGUCAACCUGGGUCUCAUGUUCUACCCUGGAGCUGGAGUUGGGAUCGGCUAAGCAGGAGGCCACAUCCCUUCCAGGGUGGCUGCUGUCAAAGCUUGGGCUGCUUAAGGGAAAUCUGCAGGGUUUCCAAGGGACAUUUAAGCCUUGGAAUUUAGUGGCCUUAUAUGAAAUUUCAGGCAGAACAUUUUAAUUAUUAAAAAGAGCCUUAUUCUAAGGAUUAGAGGACCUGUGUUCUGGGCCUGAGAUUCACUACAAUGUGUUUAGAAAAUAACUUCCCAUCUGUAGUCUCCAGUUUAUCCAUCUAAAACUGGAAUUGGGUUAGCUGACCUGUGAGUGACCUUCCAUUUCUGACAUUCCAAAUAAUUCUAUAUGCUGGGCAGUAUGACUCAUGGGCCAUGCCUCAAGGUGCUUAAACGCCCAUGAUUAAAGUGGAGAGUGGACUGUCCUUCUGAUAUCCCACUAAGAUAUUCUAUUUCUUAUAAAUGUGCUUAUAUAGAAAUCUGAAGAGCUUGUAGAUUAAAAACAAAGAUUCCACCCUAGACUUUAUAACUGAAACAACUCUUAAAAUAUUAGUACUUUCUCCUGAAAUGAAUCUUAUAUAUAUUUUCAGUCUUUCCUCAUCUUUUGAGUCCCAAGAGGGGAUGUGACUUGUCCAAAGUGACACAGUGAGUCCAUGGUUGAACUUAACCCCAACAUCCCUGCAACACACCACCCUAAAUCCCACAAAGCUGUUUCUCCACCACCACCCCCCACUUUGGCACUACUUCCUGUCUCUGCAAGCUCUGCUGUCUCCACAGUGGAACAUUCCUGUACAGAGGGGAUUAAAAGAGCAGGGGUGGAAUGCUAAAUCUCCCUGCCCAUUGGCAAUAGCCUAUCUCCUGAACUGAGCCCAACAGGCCUUGGGUCAGGGGAAGCCAGCAGCUCUGAGUUGUCAGAACCAACUUCAAUCCACAUGCCGUGGGCUAUUCACACAUACACUGUUUUCUGUCAGGUAAAGCCCCAAAGCAAGUGCUCUGAGGUGGGUACACUGCUGAGUUUGGGUGUUGUACCUGGAGCCUUUCUGGGCCAACUCUGUCAAUGUGCCCUCCAAGCUUAGUAGAGCCAUUGGAGUCCCUGGGCCAAGCUUUGAGUAAAGUCAGGCUAAGUUUCAGAGUGUCCAGAAACAGGCCUCAAUGUCUGGUUCAGUGGAGAAAGUAAGAGGUCCAGAUGCUUGCCUCCAGUCAACCUCUUAUUAGGUUUCUGACCUUGGACCUAGAUGACCUGUUGGAGCCCCCUGACCUUGGGUGGAUAAAAUAGAGACUGUGUGACCUCACUGUCAUAGAGCAGACUAUCCACUUUCUCCCAUCUUGUGCUCUGGGUAUUUGUGGAAGUCUGAUGCCCCAUGUCUUCAUUACAUAUGGAGAGGAUAAAUAAUACUCUCUAGUUGGCUCUCAGUCACCCACUAAAGAGUGCAUUAAGGGUAUGGAUGCUCUAAAAUUCUUACAACAGCAAUGAGUAUUUCCAAGCUCAUUUACUAACUGCCUAAAAUGAUCUGGAAGAUUUGCUCAGUACUAAGGAUAACAGAACUAACAAUGUGCCAUCAUUGCUCUUAAGGGACUUUCUAAUGAUGAAGAAAAACAAACAAGGAUUAUUAUUAUUUACAAACUAUUGGCUUCUAAGGAGAGUAGGUCCCACAAAUAGGAUGUUGAUGAGUUCUUUCUUGGGUCUGGGAUAUCUGGGACAAGCUGAUUUGCUCUAUGGAAGAAAGAAUGAGAGAAAUUAGGGAAGGGAAUAAAAAGAUGGAGGGCAGAGUAGAUAUAUGCUGGCAAAAUAGUGUCUUGUGUGAAGUAAAAGAGAAGCCCUAGUUAGUGUCUCAGAGAAAGAAACAGAGGAGAAGACCAUAUUAAGUGGAACUUUAUGAAGUUACAUGAUGUCAAACUUCCUUCUAGACAUCCCCUAGAAGUCUUCAGUAAAAUCUUCCAUGUAAUUUUUUUUCCCUGAGUAAUAUAAGUGGUGCAGAAUCCUAUGUCCCGGAGAGCCUGAGGCCGUAUCCAUCGCCACAGUAAUGGUGUGUAACAAAUAACCCCCAAACUUCAAUAUAUAAUAGUAAUUAUUUAUUACUUAUGAAUCUGAGGUCAUCUUGGAUUCAUUAAGAGGAUCUUCUGAUCUUGACUAGUCUUGCUCACAUGUCUGGGGUCAGCUAGGUGUGGGCCAAUUUAUGGUAUCCUUGACUGAAUGACUAGGGCAUCUUGGCUCUGCUCCAUGUGUUUCUCUUGUUCCAACAAGCUAUCUCAGGCAUGUUCUUAUGUUGAUGGCAGAGUUACAGGAGCGCAAGUGCAAGUGCUUGUUCAAGUCUAUACUUGCUUCAACUCUUUUAACAUCCCAUUGGCCAGAGUAAGUCUGAUGAGAUGACCAAACUCAUAAUCAAGGAGUGGAAAAUAUAUUUGCCUGUUAAUAGACAGUGACUGACAGCAUUCCAAGUCAUGGCUGUCCUUUCAGCCUGAGGAUUACUUGGAGCAGAGUCCCCAGCUGGCCCUCCAUGGACACGUAGCAUGAGCAAGAAAUAAGCCUUCUCUGUUUUAAGAUAUGAGAUUUGGGGUAUCAUUACUUCAGUAAACCUAGCAAAUCUAGCCUAUCACUACUGAUAUAACCAUCUUAUAUUGAUUGCCUAUAACAUGCCAAGAACUAUGUUAAGAACUUUGUGUAUAUUUGGUAUUUAUUCUUUCAACAAUUUAUUUAUUUAUUUAUUUAUUUUUCCACUGUACAGCAUGGGGGCCAAGUUACACUUACAUGUAUACUGUAUACAUUUUUUUCUACCCUUUGUUCUGUUCCAAUAUAAGUAUCUAGACAUAGUUCUCAAUGCUACUCAGCAGGAUCUCAUUGUAAAUCUAUUCCAAGUUGUAUCCGACAACCCCAAGCUCCCUAUCCCUCCCACUCCCUCCCUCUCCCCCUGGGGGGCCACAAGUCUGUUCUCCAAGUCCAUGAUUUUCUUUUCUGUGGAAAUGUUCAUUUGUGUUGUAUAUUAGAUUCCAGUUAUAAGUGAUAUCAUAUGGUAUUUGUCUUUGUCUUUCUGACAUUUCACUCAGUAUGAAAGUCUCUAGUUCCAUCCCUGUUGCUGUAAAUGGCAUUAUGUCGUUCUUUUUAUGGCUGAGUAGUAUUCCAUUGUGUAUAUAUACCACAUCUUCCUAAUCCAAUCAUCUGUCAAUGGACAUUUAGGUUGUUUCCAUGUCUUGGCUACUGUGAAUAGUGCUGCAGUGAACAUGUGGGUGCAUGUGUCUUUUUCAAGGAAACUCUUGUCCGGAUAUAUGCCCAAGAGUGGGAUUGCAGGGUCGUAUGGAAGUUCUAUGUAUAGAUUUCUAAGGUAUCUCCAAACUGUUCUCAUUUAACAAAUAUUGAGUGUCUCUUUUAUGUCUAAUUCAUCCUCACGAAAACCCAGUCAACAUUAUAUCAGAGUUGUAGGUAAAGGAACUGAAGCUCAAAUGGUAAUUCACCCAAAGUAAUAUAGACAGUAAGUGUCAGAGCAGUAUCUAAACACAGGUCUGUUGAAUUCCAGUGAUCAAGCUCUUAGCUACUCUAUUCUAUUAUUUUUCUAUUGAUGCCCCUUCAUGGGGACUGUCACAGGAAAAAAUAACUUGCCAUUGGAAGUGGAUUUAAAUAUAUUGGAGUACUUAGUCAGGUGCAUUUAAAGUAAGAAAGAGUCUUCUCCUUGGUCAGGCUCCCUCACGCAUUUUUGAUCCACACCCUAGUCCCACUUAAUGCCUAUGACUUUUAACACUACCUGGCAUCUCCAUCAGUGAUUUAUGUUUCCCCAGACAGAGAUUGUCUUUCCCCAAUGUUAAAUCUUACAGCCAAGCUACAAGGAGACACGUUGUUAAAUGUUGGCUUGGCAGCAAGAAGCCUGCUGAGCCAUGGGCCAGGCUCUAACCAAAUAUCCUCCAGGGGAGGGAUGAAUCAGUGCAGAGAGACAGGAGACUCAAGCCAUAAGCCAGACCAUGAUGGGAAACAGAAGAGGAGAAGAGAGAAUGGAACAGGCCUGAUAACCCCUCUCCUUCUCCUUCCCCUUACCCUAAAGAGAAAGGAGAGAGGAGAUAGAAGGAUUAAGGUGAAAAUGAGGUAGGUUGGAAUACCAGUUUUUCAGCCACUCAGGAUGAGAAUUCAUUUAUCCUUUCAUCCAAGAAGCAUUUCUUGAGCAUUUACUCUGUGUUAGCCAUCAUGCUAGGGACUGGAAUAUACCAAACAGUCAUGGCCCCCAUUUAGAGGGGAUCACAGAUUGGUAAGAGAGUCAGACUUAUAAACAAGUUAAAAGAUGUUUACUGUACUCCCUUCUCUGAAACCCACUGAAAAUAACAAAAAGAAUAAGAAUAAUAAAGAAAAUUCCAUCUUCAAUAAAACUAGGAAAUCACUGCAGGCUGAGAUGAUAACUCCUUACUAGAGUUCAUUCCUGUCUUUCUAUAAUAGAGAAGAGUGGGUAGGGAACAGCUUCCCAGGCAGGGACCACAUUUCCCAGCCUCCCCAUUGCAUUUUAUUGAGUUCUGUGAUUAGUUCUCAUUGCUGGAAUGUGAACAGAAGUGAUCUGGGCCACUUAACAACCAAGGUGGUUAAGAGAUAGGUGAUAUCUUUCUUCUCCUCUCCUCCUCUUUUUUCUUCUUCUCCUUCUUUUUUUCUCUCUCUCCCCUUUCUCUUGUACUUCCCUUGGAGUACAAGGGCCUCCAAGACCCCACAAAUUAGAAAGAGCACAGGCCAGCUACCCACUAACCAGGAACAUCUACAUUAAACUCAUGCAAGUGAUAAAUGAACUUAUAUCAGGCUAAACCAUUGAAAAUUGGGGAUGAAGUUGCUUAUUACGGAGCUAAUGCUACUCUGAAUAAAACAGGCUAGGAGUUCCCGUCGUGAUGCAGUGGUUAACGAAUCCGACUAGGAACCAUGAGGUUGCAGGUUCGAUCCCUGCCCUUGCUCAGUGGUGGGUCAAGGUUCCGGCGUUUGCCGUGAGUUGUGGUGUAGGUCACAGACGCGGCUCGGAUCCUGCGUUGCUGUGGCUCUGGCGUAGGC
rnacentral:lncRNA from 1 species